rnacentral:rRNA from 1 species
UACGUAGGUGGCAAGCGUUGUCCGGAUUUAUUGGGUUUAAAGGGUGCGUAGGUGGCCCUGUAAGUCAGUGGUGAAAUAUCUCAGCUUAACUGAGAGGGUGCCAUUGAUACUGCAGGGCUUGAGUACAGAUGAGGUAGGCGGAAUUGACGGUGUAGCGGUGAAAUGCAUAGAUAUUGUCAAGAACACCGAUUGCGAAGGCAGCUUACUAGACUGUAACUGACGCUGAGGCACGAAAGUGUGGGGAUCAAACAGG